rnacentral:rRNA from 1 species
GAUGAACGCUGACAGAAUGCUUAACACAUGCAAGUCAACUUGAAUUUGGGUUUUUAACUUCGGUUUGGGUGGCGGACGGGUGAGUAACGCGUAAAGAACUUGCCUCACAGCUAGGGACAACAUUUGGAAACGAAUGCUAAUACCUAAUAUUAUGAUAAUAGGGCAUCCUAUAAUUAUGAAAGCUAUAAGCGCUGUGAGAGAGCUUUGCGUCCCAUUAGCUAGUUGGAGAGGUAACGGCUCACCAAGGCGAUGAUGGGUAGCCGGCCUGAGAGGGUGAUUGGCCACAAGGGGACUGAGACACGGCCCUUACUCCUACGGGAGGCAGCAGUGGGGAAUAUUGGACAAUGGACCGAGAGUCUGAUCCAGCAAUUCUGUGUGCACGAUGAAGUUUUUCGGAAUGUAAAGUGCUUUCAGUUGGGAAGAAACAAAUGACGGUACCAACAGAAGAAGUGACGGCUAAAUACGUG